CCUACGGGAGGCAGCAGUGGGGAAUAUUGCACAAUGGGGGAAACCCUGAUGCAGCGACGCCGCGUGAGUGAAGAAGUAUCUCGGUACGUAAAGCUCUAUCGGCAGGGAAGAAAAUGACGGUACCUGACUAAUAAGCACCGGCUAACUACGUGCCAGCAGCCGCGGUAAUACGUAGGGGGCAAGCGUUAUCCGGAAUCACUGGGUGUAAAGGGCGCGUAGACGGGAGAACAAGUCUGGAGUGAAAUCCUGGGGCUUAACCCUGGAACUGCAUUGGAAACUGUGCGGCUGGAGUGCAGGAGGGGUAAGUGGAAUUCCUAGUGUAGCGGUGAAAUGCGUAGAGAUUAAGAGGAACACCGGUGGCGAAGGCGGCUUACUGGACUGUAACUGACGUUGAGGUUCGAAAGCGUGGGGAGCAAACAGGAUUAGAUACCCGGGUAGUC
rnacentral:rRNA from 1 species